UACGCAGGGGGCUAGCGUUGUUCGGAAUUACUGGGCGUAAAGCGCGCGCAGGCGGCUAUCCAAGUCAGUGGUGAAAGCCCGGAGCUCAACUCCGGAACUGCCAUUGAAACUGUUUAGCUGGAGUAUGAGAGAGGUGAGUGGAAUUCCCAGUGUAGAGGUGAAAUUCGUAGAUAUUGGGAAGAACACCGGUGGCGAAGGCGGCUCACUGGCUCAUUACUGACGCUCAUGCGCGACAGCGUGGGGAUCAAACAGG
rnacentral:rRNA from 1 species